rnacentral:rRNA from 1 species
UACUAGCACCCCGAGUGGUCGGGACGAUUAUUGGGCCUAAAGCAUCCGUAGCCGGUUCUGCAAGUCCCCCGUUAAAUCCAGCUGCUCAACAGAUGGGCCGCGGAGGAUACUACAGAGCUAGGAGGCAGGAGAGGCAAGCGGUACUCAGUGGGUAGGGGUAAAAUCCGUUGAUCCAUUGAAGACCACCAGUGGCGAAGGCGGCUUGCCAGAAUGCGCUCGACGGUGAGGGAUGAAAGCUGGGGGAGCAAACCGG